CUGGGAUCACCAUCUGGCCUGGUUCAUCUUCUGGAUUAUGAUGGAUGACUUACAGAAAUAAAGGCAAAAGUCAGAUACACGGAGGGAAGCCAAAUAAGAACAAAAGGACAGGGAUGGAGUCCUUUUCCUCCAGCCCAGUAUUAAUAAGCUUUGUAUUUCUUUAUGCCCAAGGGACCUACAUGGAUACUUCUGUAAGAGAAGGAAGAAAGAAUGGAGUGAGAGAAGCCCGCUGCCACUGUCAGCUCUGACUACCUCCUCGGUCUUACACACCUCCCAGGACCCAGUCGCAGUCACCUCCUCAGUCAUGGACCCAUAAGCCACCCAACUCCAGCUGCAUCAAGGGGAGGCACUCCACUCUAUUUAUUUUGGAGCACAGAAGUGUUAAAGUUUCCCACCUUCAUCUAGAAGCUCUUCAUCCAUGCUUUGCAGAGUAAAGCCUUGACAACUCCUGGAACUUAUUGCCAAUGCAGCUCCUACCAGAUCUCCACUCUCUACUAUGGAGGGGAGCAAGAGGAGUGUCUCAACCAACUAUACUCAAGAUCUAAUGAUGUGCCAGAGCACCCUUAGCAAUAUGACACAUUAGAAGACAACAACCAUCGAUCUGCGUGGUGCCUGGUUUCUAAGGUUCUUCUUCUUUUUUUUUUUUUUAAUAUAUAUUUUAUUCACUCAUUUGACAGAGAGAUCACAAGCAGGCAGAGAGGCAGGCAGAGAUGGAGGAAGAGAAGCAGGCCCUCUGCCGAGCAGAGAUGUGGGGCUUGACCCCAGGACCCUGGAAUCAUGAUCCGAGCUGAAGGCAGAGGCUUUAACCCACUGAGCCACCCAGGCGCCCCUCUAAGGUUCUUCUUCACAAGCUGACAAUGCAACUCUGGUCUCACAUGUAAACUGGAUUCAUUUUGGUGAUGGACUAUUUUCCACCCCCUUGCUUUCCCUCUAUCAACUACCAGAUAGCCUAAAAUAUGCAGAAGUCAGACUACCACAGUGAGGCUAACUAAGUAUGCCUGA